CUCAUUAGUUAUAUGUGAUUUCUGGGCAGGGCUCAAGCUUAACAGCUAAAUCGUAUAGAGGAAUUUGUAAUGAACAAACUCCAGUUGUAGUCACACUGAAGACAAGGAUGAAUUCGCAGCUCGAAGAGAACACAUCGCGAUUAAGUUUUUGAAUUGGGAGCCUUUUUUUUACUUUAAGCUAAAAUAAUAGUUUGUUUGACUAUGUUGGACACCAUGUUGUUGCUGUAUUGCAAGUCGAAAUUGUAGGCGAGAUAUUUUACCUCAUGCUUUGAAAACGAAAGCAAGAUGAGUUUGCCAUACAAUGAACUAUAUUAUAAGUUCGAAAAUAUUGAUGAGCUGCGUAUCAAACAGGACUCAAAUAAGGCGAUGUACCGAAACUGUAUGAAUUUAGCUUUCCUCAGAGAGUUCAAAAUAAAAAAACCCAAUUUACAAAUUUUGAUUUAUGCCACGGACACC
rnacentral:misc_RNA from 1 species